rnacentral:rRNA from 1 species
GUAGGGAAUCUUCCACAAUGGGCGCAAGCCUGAUGGAGCAACACCGCGUGAGUGAAGAAGGGUUUCGGCUCGUAAAGCUCUGUUGUUGAAGAAGAACGUGCAGGAGAGUAACUGUUCCUGCAGUGACGGUAUUCAACCAGAAAGUCACGGCUAACUACGUGCCAGCAGCCGCGGUAAUACGUAGGUGGCAAGCGUUAUCCGGAUUUAUUGGGCGUAAAGCGAGCGCAGGCGGUUUUCUAAGUCUGAUGUGAAAGCCUUCGGCUUAACCGAAGAAGGGCAUCGGAAACUGGAUGGCUUGAGUGCAGAAGAGGGCAGUGGAACUCCAUGUGUAGCGGUGGAAUGCGUAGAUAUAUGGAAGAACACCAGUGGCGAAGGCGGCUGCCUGGUCUGUAACUGACGCUGAGGCUCGAAAGCAUGGGUAGCGAACAGGAUUAGAAACCCUUGUAGUCC